GGACGUUUGUAGGUAAGCACUUAUUACAUUUUAAAAGACCUAAUUAUAUUUCAUCACUGCCAUGUUCUUUACCGAUAUAAUUACAUCAUAGUCACAUGCACUUACUUAAUUUUCAAUUUAAAAUUAUAAAAAUAAAAUAAAAUAAAUCCCACAAAACCUAAUCUCCUCUUUAAACUACGUUAAUCAGAUGAGAGUUAACACACUAUAAAGAGAGAAGUAAAGUAAAGCUAUGGAUUUGUCUUCAAAACACAAACAAACUCUCCCGUCGCCGGAGAACUAACCAUAGCCGGAGAAAUGGGUGUCUGUUACAAAGAGUGUCUGAAAAACCACGCGGCUAACCUCGGCGGCCACGCGCUCGACGGCUGCGGCGAGUUCAUGCCAACCCCUACCGCAACUCCCACCGACCCUUCCUCUCUCCGCUGCGCCGCUUGUGGCUGCCACCGUAAUUUCCACCGCCGUGACCCUUCCGACCAUCUCAACUUCCUCCCUUCGCAUCCCACUUCCUCUCCCUCCGGAACAGAAUCUCCACCGUCUCAGUCGCUUCACCACGUGGCUUCCCCUGUUCCUUGCUCUUACUACACUUCAGCUCCACAUCACAUGCUUCUCUCUCUCAGCUCCGGUUUCCCUGGACCGGCAGAUCAAGAUCCGGCGGCGGUAAGAUCGGAGAACAGCUCAAAAGGAGGAAUGAGGAAACGGACGAGGACUAAGUUCACGGCGGAGCAGAAGAUUAAGAUGAGAGCCUUCGCCGAGAAAGCGGGGUGGAAGAUCAACGGCUGUGAUGAGAAGUUGGUGAGAGAGUUCUGUAGCGAGAAUGGGAUCGAGAGAGGAGUUCUUAAAGUAUGGAUGCAUAAUAAUAAGUAUUCACUUCUCAACGGGAAGAACAGAGAGAUCUUGUCGAUGGAGGAUCAACCUCGUCUCUGUCUGAACACUCAGAGCUGUAAUAAUGGUGGAGAAGAUGGAGACAACGUUGGUGGGUCAUCGUCUUCUUGACGCUAAUUACCAUACUUAAAUUCGGGGAAUGUUAAAGUUAUGAGCAUUAACCGUUUAAAUCUUAUAAUAGUAAGUUCUAACGUGUAAUCGUCAUCGAGAUAUAUGCAGUUUUAAAUAUUAUUGAAGUUGUUUGACAGAGAUGUUCAGAGAUCAUAAUAAAGGACAUGUAGCACAUUGUCGCAAGUCAAAUACUAACGUUGAACACGUAAUUACCUACAUUAGAAGAAACCACAGAACACUUAAUAAUUAAUUUCGAUUAAUCGAUUAAUUGGAAAGUUGCCAUCUAAAGUAAUAACUGGCAUUAUAUAAACAAAAAUGCAAAACGUACAUAAGAAAAUGGUCGCUAUUCAUUUUAUGACCGUUGACAACCAAAAACAAAACAAGCUAAAAAAAGGUUAAAACGAAGCAGAUAGAAAUGUAGAGCUGAGACAGAGAAAUUUACUAAAACAUGGGGCUCUGGCGUGAACUUUAAAAAUAAAAUUGCAGGGCAGCUGGUAUUGUCCUCUAGUACGAUGCAUGUAAUGGGCAUUGGCCACGUAUACGCUUUGGACUAAGUCCUUCCCUCUCCGUCGAAUAUAAUAUAUACUAUUAUUGAUAAAAAGAAAACAUUUUUUUUGAGCAAUGAUAAAAAGAAAAUUAUUAUUAGCUUUACCAAUUUCUUCAUCUCCAUCAACAAGUUACCCACUGGUGAAAAAGUGAAAACCCAUAACUUACAAAAUGUCUUGUAAAAUCAUUGAAGAAAAGCUUGUGAUACGACCCAUUAUUUUAUUAUAUUAUAUAGUAUAUAACGUAUGAAUAUACAUCAAGUGAUAAAAUAUUCAAUAAUAUACUAUGUAUUAAAAUGUGUUGUAGCUUUUCAUUUGAUAUACAGUAAAUGUGUGCAUUAUUUUACUGAGUGUGUUUUGGACGUUUGUAGGUAAGCACUUAUUACAUUUUAAAAGACCUAAUUAUAUUUCAUCACUGCCAUGUUCUUUACCGAUAUAAUUACAUCAUAGUCACAUGCACUUACUUAAUUUUCAAUUUAAAAUUAUAAAAAUAAAAUAAAAUAAAUCCCACAAAACCUAAUCUCCUCUUUAAACUACGUUAAUCAGAUGAGAGUUAACACACUAUAAAGAGAGAAGUAAAGUAAAGCUAUGGAUUUGUCUUCAAAACACAAACAAACUCUCCCGUCGCCGGAGAACUAACCAUAGCCGGAGAAAUGGGUGUCUGUUACAAAGAGUGUCUGAAAAACCACGCGGCUAACCUCGGCGGCCACGCGCUCGACGGCUGCGGCGAGUUCAUGCCAACCCCUACCGCAACUCCCACCGACCCUUCCUCUCUCCGCUGCGCCGCUUGUGGCUGCCACCGUAAUUUCCACCGCCGUGACCCUUCCGACCAUCUCAACUUCCUCCCUUCGCAUCCCACUUCCUCUCCCUCCGGAACAGAAUCUCCAC
rnacentral:lncRNA from 1 species